CCGGCCCCGCCCGGCGGCCGUUAUGCCUGGUGCUGUGUAGCUGUUCAGGGCGGGACCCGAAAGAAGCAGAGCCUGGGCGGCAGCUGCUGAGCGCGGCCCGGAGGCUCGAGGCCUGGCUCUGCCUGUGGGCAGCGGUGGGUGGGGAAAGCCCCAUGGCGUCUCCUGUUGCCUUCCCGUAGGCUGGGAGUUAUCCUGCCUCCCGAGGGGAUCGCAUCAUUCGGGUUUGCUCCGCGCUCCGGCAGCCUCAGUCGGGAAGUGCCAUAGAGAGCAGCGUGGAGACACUAGGCGGGCUAUGUGAGUAUUCUUCUCUGAAGGGAAAUUCCUGCUCUCCAGUCAAAAUUGCAGCACACCUAAUCUUCUAGAAAGAAAGAAUUUGAGUUAAUUUUACAUUCAGUCUUUUCCCCCCAAAGAUGAACUCGAAAGAAGGGGAAGAAGAUGGGAGGGCAUGAGAAUUGGAUCCACUUAACUUCCUUUGGCAACAUUCAUUACAGUUAGAGUUUCUGCCUCCAAGACACACACACAAUUGGGUUAUGAUUUGGCUGAUGAAACAAGAAUAACAAGUUCCUUCAGCAAGCUGCUAUGCCAUUAUAACCCAUCUGGAGACUUUUGACUAUUGCUGAUGGUAGUUGCUGGGCUGGGCGAGCAAUUCCCGACUAGGAAUGGAGACCAGGUCUCCAGUUUGGCAUGGAAUUGUUUAACAUUUAAUUAAGUUCAGCUUUAAAAGUUUUAGUAUGAUUGAACUGAUAUUUUCUCCUUCAACUGCCUGAUUGCUGCUCUUCCAAUGCAGAAUAAAUGGCUUUCAAAUACA